rnacentral:rRNA from 1 species
GACGAACGCUGGCGGCGUGCUUAACACAUGCAAGUCGAACGGAAAGGCCCUGCGUUUGUGGGUUGCUCGAGUGGCGAACGGGUGAGUAACACGUGAGUAACCUGCCCUUGACUUUGGGAUAACUUCAGGAAACUGGGGCUAAUACCGGAUAGGAUCUCCUGCUGCAUGGUGUGGGUUGGAAAGUUUCGGCUGUUGGGGAUGGACUCGCUGCUUAUCAGCUUGUUGGUGGGGUAGUUGCUUACCAAGGGUUUGACGGGUAGCCGGCCUGAGAGGGUGACCGGGCACCAUGCGACUGCGGUACGGACCAGAAGCCUAUGGGAGGCAACAGUGGGGAAUCUUGCGCAAUGGGGGGAAGCCAAAUGUGGAAACGUUGCGUGCGGGAUACCGGCCUUCGGGUUGUAAACAGCUUUGGACUGUGCCGAACCGUGCGUGACGGUACUGGGUAAAGAAGCAACGGCUAACUACGUG